AUUGAACGCUGGCGGCAGGCCUAACACAUGCAAGUCGAACGAGUGGCGGACGGGUGAGUAAUGUCUGGGAAACUGCCCGAUGGAGGGGGAUAACUACUGGAAACGGUAGCUAAUACCGCAUACCAUCGGAUGUGCCCAGAUGGGAUUAGCUAGGGGGGGGGGUAACGGCACACCUAGGCGACGAUCCCUAGCUGGUCUGAGAGGCUGACCAGCCACACGGGGACUGAGAGACGGCACAGACGCAUCAGGGAGGACGCAGUGGGGAAGAUGGCACAAUGGACGCAAGCCUGAUGCAGCCAGGCCGCGUGUAUGAAGAAGGCCUUCGGGUUGUAAAGUACUUUGAGCGGGGAGGCGUUACUCGCAGAAGAAGCACCGGCUAACUCCGUGCCAGCAGCCGCGGUAAUAC
rnacentral:rRNA from 1 species